AGGACGAACGCUGGCGGCGUGCUUAACACAUGCAAGUCGAGCGGAAAGGCCUUUCGGGGUACUCGAGCGGCGAACGGGUGAGUAACACGUGAGUAAUCUGCCCAUCGCUUCAGGAUAGCCAUCGGAAACGGUGAUUAAUACUGGAUAUGACAUUCCUUCGCAUGUUGGGGUGUGGAAAGUUUUUUCGGCGGUGGAUGUGCUCGCGGCCUAUCAGCUUGUUGGUGGGGUAAUGGCCUACCAAGGCUUUGACGGGUAGCCGGCCUGAGAGGGUGACCGGCCACACUGGGACUGAGACACGGCCCAGACUCCUACGGGAGGCAGCAGUGGGGAAUAUUGGACAAUGGGCGGAAGCCUGAUCCAGCAACGCCGCGUGAGGAUGACGGCCUUCGGGUGUAAACCCUUUCAGCACAGACGAAGUUUUGUCGUUUUUUGGUGUAAGUGACGGUAUGUGCAGAAGAAGGACCGGCCAACGUACGUGCCAGCGAGCCGC
rnacentral:rRNA from 1 species